AUUGAACGCUGGCGGCAGGCCUAACACAUGCAAGUCGAGCGGAUGAAGGGAGCUUGCUCCUGGAUUCAGCGGCGGACGGGUGAGUAAUGCCUAGGAAUCUGCCUGGUAGUGUGGGAUAACGUCCGGAAACGGGCGCUAAUACCGCAUACGUCCUGAGGGAGAAAGUGGGGGAUCUUCGGGCCUCACGCUAUCAGAUGAUCCUAGGUCGGAUUAGCUAGUUGGUGGGGUAAAGGCCUACCAAGGCGACGAUCCGUAACUGGUCUGAGAGGAUGAUCAGUCACACUGGAACUGAGACACGGUCCAGACUCCUACGGGAGGCAGCAGUGGGGAAUAUUGGACAAUGGGCGAAAGCCUGAUCCAGCCAUGCCGCGUGUGUGAAGAAGGUCUUCGGAUUGUAAAGCACUUUAAGUUGGGAGGAAGGGCAGUAAGUUAAUACCUUGCUGUUUUGACGUUACCAACAGAAUAAGCACCGGCUAACUUCGUG
rnacentral:rRNA from 1 species